UGGGGAAUAUUGGACAAUGGGGGAAACCCUGAUCCAGCAAUGCCGCGUGAGUGAAGAAGGCCUUAGGGUUGUAAAGCUCUUUCGCCCGCGAAGAUAAUGACGGUAGCGGGAGAAGAAGCCCCGGCUAACUCCGUGCCAGCAGCCGCGGUAAUACGGAGGGGGCUAGCGUUGUUCGGAAUUACUGGGCGUAAAGCGUACGUAGGCGGAUGCGCAAGUUGGGGGUGAAAUCCCGGGGCUUAACCUCGGAAUUGCCCUCAAAACUGCACGUCUUGAGACCGAGAGAGGUAAGGGGAAUUCCUAGUGUAGAGGUCAAAUUCGUAGAUAUUAGGAAGAACACCAGUGGCGAAGGCGCCUUACUGGCUCGGUACUGACGCUGAGGUACGAAAGCGUGGGGAGCAAACA
rnacentral:rRNA from 1 species